rnacentral:rRNA from 1 species
UACGUAGGGUGCAAGCGUUUAAUCGGAAUUACUGGGCGUAAAGCGUGCGCAGGCGGCUUUGCAAGACAGAUGUGAAAUCCCCGGGCUCAACCUGGGAACUGCAUUUGUGACUGCAUGGCUAGAGUACGGUAGAGGGGGAUGGAAUUCCGCGUGUAGCAGUGAAAUGCGUAGAUAUGCGGAGGAACACCGAUGGCGAAGGCAAUCCCCCUGGACCUGUACUGACGCUCAUGCACGAAAGCGUGGGGAGCAAACAGG